GUGUAAUGAAAGAUCGUGUGCAGCGACAAUGCAAUUUGAAUUAACUCGCGCUCGAAUUGGCGUCCAAGCCCGUUAUAUUUCGCAAUACACAGCAGAAAAAAUGUUAGUCUAUCAUAGCUGAGAUUUUGAUACUGAGCUUUUACCACCGUUUAGUGGUCAAUCUUCAAGGCUUGGCAGUCGAUAGCUUUCAGCUCAGUUAGCUGCUUAAUUCAGCGCAGAUGAGACGUGUGUGCGUGCGUGUGUGUUUAUAAAUUAAGAUCGUGUGUGAAAACGCAGUAGAGUACUUAACUCGCAUCGCAAACAAGGAAUUGAAGAACUGCAGUCGAACUCUGAUUGUCAGAUUUUGCAAAAGAUAUUGUAAAGUAAACAGCUUUUCACUCGAAAGUGAACUCCAAUUGGAAUGUGCUCAAAACGAAGCAUUACAGCCCGGAGCGGAUCGAACUAGUAUAAAUCAACAGGCUGCCAAAGCAAAAGCAAUCAAUAAGUACGAGUGUCACAG